ACUCCUACGGGAGGCAGCAGUGGGGGAAUAUUGGACAAUGGGCGGAAAGCCUGAUCCAGCCAUGCCGCGUGUGUGAAGAAGGUCUUCGGAUUGUAAAGCACUUUAAGUUGGGAGGAAGGGCGGUUACCUAAUACGUGAUGGUUUUGACGUUUACCGACAGAAUAAGCACCGGCUAACUCUGUGCCAGCAGCCGCGGUAAUACAGAGGGGUGCAAGCGUUAAUCGGAAUUACUGGGCGUAAAGCGCGCGUAGGUGGUUUGUUAAGUUGGAUGUGAAAUCCCGGGGCUCAACCUGGGAACUGCAUUCAAAACUGACUGACUAGAGUAUGGUAGAGGGUGGUGGAAUUUCCUGUGUAGCGGUGAAAUGCGUAGAUAUAGGAAGGAACACCAGUGGCGAAGGCGACACCUGGACUGAUACUGACACUGAGGUGCGAAAGCGUGGGGAGCAAACA
rnacentral:rRNA from 1 species